rnacentral:rRNA from 1 species
GAAAUUCGCCUUCAUGAAGCCGGAAUUACUAGUAAUGGCAGGUCAGCAUACUGCCGUGAAUACGUUCCCGGGCCUUGUACACACCGCCCGUCACACCAUGAGAGUUGGGAAUACCCGAAGCCUGUGAGCUAACAUUACGAGGCAGCAGUCGAAGGUAGAAUCAAUGAUUGGGGUGAAGUCGUAACAAGGUAUC